AAGUUUGAUCCUGGCUCAGGAUGAACGCUGGCGGCGUGCCUAAUACAUGCAAGUCGAACGAGUUCUGAUUAUUGAAAGGUGCUUGCAUCUUGAUUUAAUUUUGAACGAGUGGCGGACGGGUGAGUAACACGUGGGUAACCUGCCCUUAAGUGGGGGAUAACAUUUGGAAACAGAUGCUAAUACCGCAUAAAUCCAAGAACCGCAUGGUUCUUGGCUGAAAGAUGGCGUAAGCUAUCGCUUUUGGAUGGACCCGCGGCGUAUUAGCUAGUUGGUGAGGUAACGGCUCACCAAGGCAAUGAUACGUAGCCGAACUGAGAGGUUGAUCGGCCACAUUGGGACUGAGACACGGCCCAAACUCCUACGGGAGGCAGCAGUAGGGAAUCUUCCACAAUGGACGCAAGUCUGAUGGAGCAACGCCGCGUGAGUGAAGAAGGCUUUCGGGUCGUAAAACUCUGUUGUUGGAGAAGAAUGGUCGGCAGAGUAACUGUUGUCGGCGUGACGGUAUCCAACCAGAAAGCCACGGCUAACUACGUGCCAGCAGCCGCGGUAAUAA
rnacentral:rRNA from 2 species